rnacentral:rRNA from 1 species
GCGGCAGGCCUAAUACAUGCAAGUCGAGCGCGCCCUUCGGGGUGAGCGGCGGACGGGUGAGUAACGCGUGGGAAUAUGCCCUUCUCUAAGGAAUAGCCUCUGGAAACGGAGAGUAAUACCUUAUACGCCCUUUGGGGGAAAGAUUUAUCGGAGAAGGAUUAGCCCGCGUUAGAUUAGGUAGUUGGUGGGGUAAUGGCCUACCAAGCCUACGAUCUAUAGCUGGUUUGAGAGGAUGAUCAGCCACACUGGGACUGAGACACGGCCCAGACUCCUACGGGAGGCAGCAGUAGGGAAUCUUAGACAAUGGGGGCAACCCUGAUCUAGCCAUGCCGCGUGUGUGAUGAAGGCCCUAGGGUCGUAAAGCACUUUCGCCAGAGAUGAUAAUGACAGUAUCUGGUAAAGAAACCCCGGCUAACUCCGUGCCAGCAGCCGCGGUAAUACGGAGGGGGUUAGCGUUGUUCGGAAUUACUGGGCGUAAAGCGCACGUAGGCGGAUUAGUAAGUUAGAGGUGAAAUCCCAGGGCUCAACCCUGGAACUGCCUUUAAUACUGCUAGUCUUGAGUUCGAGAGAGGUAAGUGGAAUUCCGAGUGUAGAGGUGAAAUUCGUAGAUAUUCGGAGGAACACCAGUGGCGAAGGCGGCUUACUGGCUCGAUACUGACGCUGAGGUGCGAAAGUGUGGGGAGCAAACAGGAUUAGAUACCCUGGUAGUCCACACCGUAAACGAUGAAUGCCAGACGUCAGCAAGUAUACUUGUUGGUGUCACACCUAACGGAUUAAGCAUCC